AACGUAGGAGACAAACGUUAUCCGGAGUUACUGGGCGUAAAGGGCGUGCAGGUGGUCUGUUAAGUCUGGCGUGGAAGCUCCUGGCUAAACCGGGAGCGGUCGUUGGAUACUGGCGGACUAGAGGACGGUAGAGGCGUGUGGAAUUCCUGGUGUAGCGGUGGAAUGCGCAGAUAUCAGGAGGAACACCCAUAGCGAAGGCAGCUUGCUGGGACGUUACUGACGCUAAGGCGCGAAAGCGUGGGGAGCGAACAGG
rnacentral:rRNA from 1 species